rnacentral:rRNA from 1 species
GUCGUAGACCCGAAACCAGGUGAUCUACCCAUGUCCAGGAUGAAGGUAAGGUAAUACUUACUGGAGGUCCGAACCCACGCACGUUGAAAAGUGCGGGGAUGAGGUGUGGGUAGCGGAGAAAUUCCAAUCGAACUUGGAGAUAGCUGGUUCUCUCCGAAAUAGCUUUAGGGCUAGCCUCGAGGUAAAGAGUCAUGGAGGUAGAGCACUGUUUGGACUAGGGGCCCUUCUCGGGUUACCGAAUUCAGAUAAACUCCGAAUGCCAUGUACUUAUACUCGGGAGUCAGACUGCGAGUGAUAAGAUCCGUAGUCGAAAGGGAAACAGCCCAGACCACCAGUUAAGGUCCCCAAAUAUAUGUUAAGUGGAAAAGGAUGUGGGGUUGCUUAGACAACCAGGAUGUUGGCUUAGAAGCAGCCACCAUUGAAAGAGUGCGUAAUAGCUCACUGGUCGAGUGACCCCGCGCCGAAAAUGUACCGGGGCUAAACAUAUUACCGAAACUGUGGAUGAACCUCUUCGGAGGUUCGUGGUAGGAGAGCGUUCUAAGGGCGGUGAAGUCAGACCGGAAGGACUGGUGGAGCGCUUAGAAGUGAGAAUGCCGGUAUGAGUAGCGAAAGAAGGGUGAGAAUCCCUUCCACCGAAUAUCUAAGGUUUCCUGAGGAAGGCUCGUCCGCUCAGGGUUAGUCGGGACCUAAGCCGAGGCCGAUAGGCGUAGGCGAUGGACAACAGGUAGAGAUUCCUGUACCAGUGCUAAUUGUUUAACCGAUGGGGUGACACAGAAGGAUAGGGAAUCGCACGAAUGGAAAUGUGCGUCCAAGCAGUGAGUGUGAGAAGUAGGCAAAUCCGCUUCUCGCGAAGCAUGAGCUGUGAUGGGGAAGGAAAUUAAGUACGGAAGUUCCUGAUUUCACGCUGUCAAGAAAAGCCUCUAGGAAGAGUAGUACUGCCCGUACCGCAAACCGACACAGGUAGAUGAGGAGAGAAUCCUAAGGUGAGCGAGAGAACUCUCGUUAAGGAACUCGGCAAAAUGACCCCGUAACUUCGGGAGAAGGGGUGCUCUAUUAGGGUGCAAGCCCGAGAGAGCCGCAGUGAAUAGGCCCAGGCGACUGUUUAGCAAAAACACAGGUCUCUGCAAAACCGUAAGGUGACGUAUAGGGGCUGACGCCUGCCCGGUGCUGGAAGGUUAAGAGGAGUGCUUAGCUUCGGCGAAGGUACGAAUUGAAGCCCCAGUAAACGGCGGCCGUAACUAUAACGGUCCUAAGGUAGCGAAAUUCCUUGUCGGGUAAGUUCCGACCCGCACGAAAGGCGCAACGAUCUGGGCACUGUCUCAACGAGAGACUCGGUGAAAUUAUAGUACCUGUGAAGAUGCAGGUUACCCGCGACAGGACGGAAAGACCCCGUGGAGCUUUACUGCAACCUGAUAUGGAAUGUUUGUACCGCUUGUACAGGAUAGGUAGGAGCCGAAGAGACGUGUGCGCUAGCAUACGAGGAGGCAAUGGUGGGAUACUACCCUGGCUGUAUGACCAUUCUAACCCGCCACGCUUAGCGCGUGGGGAGACAGUGUCAGGUGGGCAGUUUGACUGGGGCGGUCGCCUCCUAAAGAGUAACGGAGGCGCCCAAAGGUUCCCUCAGAAUGGAUGGAAAUCAUUCGCAGAGUGUAAAGGCACAAGGGAGCUUGACUGCGAGACUGACAAGUCGAGCAGGGACGAAAGUCGGGCUUAGUGAUCCGGUGGUUCCGCAUGGAAGGGCCAUCGCUCAACGGAUAAAAGCUACCCCGGGGAUAACAGGCUUAUCUCCCCCAAGAGUCCACAUCGACGGGGAGGUUUGGCACCUCGAUGUCGGCUCGUCGCAUCCUGGGGCUGUAGUCGGUCCCAAGGGUUGGGCUGUUCGCCCAUUAAAGCGGCACGCGAGCUGGGUUCAGAACGUCGUGAGACAGUUCGGUCCCUAUCCGUCGCGGGCGCAGGAAAUUUGAGAGGAGCUGUCCUUAGUACGAGAGGACCGGGAUGGACACACCGCUGGUGUACCAGUUGUUCCGCCAGGAGCAUCGCUGGGUAGCUAUGUGUGGCAGGGAUAAACGCUGAAAGCAUCUAAGCGUGAAGCCCCCCUCAAGAUGAGAUUUCCCAUUUCUUCGGAAAGUAAGAUCCCUGAAAGAUGAUCAGGUAGAUAGGUUUGGAGUGGAAGUGUAGCGAUACAUGGAGCGGACAAAUACUAAUCGAUCGAGGACUUAACCAA